AUUGAACGCUGGCGGCAGGCCUAACACAUGCAAGUCGAGCGAGCGGCGGACGGGUGAGUAAUGUAGGGGGACUGCCCGAUAGAGGGGGAUAACUACUGGAGACGGUAGCUAAUACCACAUACUCUCAGAUAACCCAGAUGGGCUGAGCUCGUGGGGGAGGUAAUGGCUUACCUAGGUGACGAUCCCUAGCUGGGCUGAGAGGAUGAUCAGCCACACUGGGACUGAGACACGGCCCAGACUCCUACGGAGGCAGCAGUGGGGAAUAUUGCCAAAUGGGCGCAAGCCUUAUGCAGCCAUGCCGCGGGUAUGAAGAAGGCCUUAGGGUUGUAAAGUACUUUCAGUCGGGAGGCGUUACCGACAGAAGAAGCACCGGCUAACUCCGUGCCAGCAGCCGCGGUAAUAC
rnacentral:rRNA from 1 species